rnacentral:misc_RNA from 1 species
UACGGAGGGUGCGAGCGUUGUCCGGAAUCACUGGGCGUAAAGGGCGCGUAGGUGGCGCGACAAGUCAACGGUGAAAGCUCGGCGCUCAACGCCGAGUCGGCCGUCGAUACUGUUGGGCUUGAGCACUGUAGAGGCAGAUGGAAUUCCGGGUGUAGCGGUGGAAUGCGUAGAGAUCCGGAAGAACACCGGUGGCGAAGGCGGUCUGCUGGGCAGUAGCUGACACUGAGGCGCGACAGCGUGGGGAGCAAACAGG